CUUCGAUCCAUAUUGAGAUCAUGAAUGAUGACCUUCAGAUCUAUACCCGACAUGUCAGAGGCUAACCAGGCAAACACAUUUGCAUUAGAUUAGAGGAAUGAAACGAGGUGUCGGCGGUCCUCUUCACACAAGUUGGAGCUGACCUUGAUGAUUUUAGUACGGAUCAACCUCAUCCACUGGUAUUGAAAUAAGGUCCUCUACCAACUAAUCUUAUUGUUCUACUAGCUCAUCUCGAACA
rnacentral:lncRNA from 1 species